CCUUCAUAUCACCCUGGAUAUCUGCUGGAAAGACAACACAGCUAGGCACAAACAGUCCCGGAGGUUCCUGCAGAGCAUUGGUGACAACUUCUUGACACAGGUGGUGGAGGAGCCAACAAGGAGAGGUGUGCUGCUGGACCUCGUACUAACAAACAAAGAAGGACUGGUUGAAGAUGUGAAGGUCGAGGGCAGCCUUGGCUGCAGUGACCAUGAGAUGGUGGAGUUGAGGAUCCUGCGAGGAGGAGGCAGCAGGGCACUAAGUAGGAUGGCAACCCUGGAGUUCAGGAGAGCAAACUUUGGCCUCUUCAGGGACCUACUUGGAGGAAUCCCAUGGGUUAGGGCCCUGGAAGGAAGGGGUGUUCAAGAGAGCUGGUUAAUAUUCAAACAUCACUUCCUCCAGGCUCAAGAGCAGUGCAUCCCUAUGAGUAGGAAGUCAAGCAAAGGAGGCAGGAGACCUGCAUGGAUGAGCAAGGAGCUCCUGGCCAAACUCAACCAGAAGAAGGAAGUAUACAGAAAGUGGAAAGGGGGACAGGCCACUUGGGAGGAAUAUAGGAACAUUGUCAGAGUAUGCAGGGAUGUGACGAGGAAGGCUAAGGCCCAUUUGGAAUUAAAUCUGGCGAGAGUUGUCAAGGACAGCAAGAAGGGCUUCUUCAAAUACAUCAGUAGCAAGAGGAAGACUAGGGAAAAUGUGGGCCCGUUGCUGAAUGGGGUGGGUGCCCUGGUGACAAAGGAUGCAGAGAAGGCAGAGUUACUGAAUGCCUUCUUUGCUUCAGUCUUUACUGCUCAGGCCAGCCCUCAGGAACCCCAGACCCUGGAGGCAAGAAAGAAAGUCUGGAGAAAGGAAGACUUUCCCUUGGUCGAGGAGGAUCGGGUUAGAGAUCAUUUAAGCAAACUUGACAUCCACAAAUCCAUGGGCCCUGAUGGGAUGCACCCACAAGUGCUGAGGGAGCUGGCGGACAUUAUUGCUAAGCCACUCUCCAUCAUCUUUGAAAGGUCAUGGAGAACAGGAGAGGUGUCU
rnacentral:lncRNA from 1 species